UACGUAGGGUGCAAGCGUUGUCCGGAAUUAUUGGGCGUAAAGAGCGUGUAGGCGGCCCGAUUAGUCCGCUGUGAAAGUCCAGGGCUCAACCCUGGAAUGCCGGUGGAUACUGUCGGGCUAGAGUCCGGAAGGGGCGAGUGGAAUUCCUGGUGUAGCGGUGAAAUGCGCAGAUAUCAGGAGGAACACCGAUGGCGAAGGCAGGUCUCUGGGCCGAUACUGACGCUGAGGAGCGAAAGCGUGGGGAGCGAACAGG
rnacentral:rRNA from 1 species